UUUGAAACCCAUGAAACACCCAAAACGGAACUGACCUUGAUCUAUUGGGCUCCUGAUGAAGCAAGUAUCCAUGAUAAAAUUCUAUACUCGAGCUCCAAGCAGUACUUAAAAAAUGCAAUGAACGGUAUCAAACAUGACCUGGAGUUCCAGUCGCUUGCAGAUAUUGCAGACAGAAAAUGUUUUACAGAGAAGUUUGGAAAGCAGAUAGUCACACUUGAGG